GAUGUGCCCAGAUGGGAUUAGCUAGUAGGUGGGGUAACGGCUCACCUAGGCGACGAUCCCUAGCUGGUCUGAGAGGAUGACCAGCCACACUGGAACUGAGACACGGUCCAGACUCCUACGGGAGGCAGCAGUGGGGAAUAUUGCACAAUGGGCGCAAGCCUGAUGCAGCCAUGCCGCGUGUAUGAAGAAGGCCUUCGGGUUGUAAAGUACUUUCAGCGAGGAGGAAGGCGUUAAGGUUAAUAACCUUAGUGAUUGACGUUACUCGCAGAAGAAGCA
rnacentral:rRNA from 1 species